AGCAUAUCAAUAAGCGGAGGAAAAGAAACUAACAGGAUUCCCCUAGUAACUGCGAGUGAAGCGGGAAAAGCUCAAAUUUAAAAUCUGGCAGCUUUGGCUGUCCGAGUUGUAAUCUGGAGAAGCGUCUUCCGCGCUGGACCGUGUACAAGUCUCCUGGAACGGAGCGUCAUAGAGGGUGAGAAUCCCGUCUUUGACACGGACUACCAGUGCUUUGUGAUGCGCUCUCAAAGAGUCGAGUUGUUUGGGAAUGCAGCUCAAAAUGGGUGGUAAACUCCAUCUAAAGCUAAAUAUUGGCGAGAGACCGAUAGCGAACAAGUACCGUGAGGGAAAGAUGAAAAGCACUUUGGAAAGAGAGUUAAACAGUACGUGAAAUUGCUGAAAGGGAAACGCUUGAAGUCAGUCGCGUUUGCUAGGACUCAGCCUUGCCUCGGCUUGGUGCAUUUCCUAGUAGACGGGCCAGCAUCACUUUUGACUGCGGGAAAAGGAUCAGAGGAAUGUGGCACCCUCGGGUGUGUUAUAGCCUCUGGUUGUAUACCGUGGUUGGGAGUGAGGAACUCAGCACGCCUUACGGGCGGGGCUUCGGCCACCUUCGUGCUUAGGAUGCUGGCGUAAUGGCUUUAAACGACCCGUCUUGAAACACGGACCAAGGAGUCUAACAUGCCUGCGAGUGUUUGGGUGGAAAACCCGAGCGCGUAAUGAAAGUGAAAGUUGGGAUCUCUGUCGUGGAGAGCACCGACGCCCGGACCAGACCUUCUGUGACGGAUCCGCGGUAGAGCAUGUAUGUUGGGACCCGAAAGAUGGUGAACUAUGCCUGAAUAGGGUGAAGCCAGAGGAAACUCUGGUGGAGGCUCGUAGCGAUUCUGACGUGCAAAUCGAUCGUCAAAUUUGGGUAUAGGGGCGAAAGACUAAUCGA
rnacentral:rRNA from 1 species